rnacentral:rRNA from 1 species
UCCGUAGGGUGCAGUCGUUAAUCGGAAUUACUGGGCGUAAAGCGUGCGCAGGCGGCUCCUUAAGUCAGAUGUGAAAGCCCCGGGCUUAACCCGGGAACUGCGUUUGAAACUGGGGAGCUAGAGUGUGGAAGAGGGGGGUGGAAUUCCAGGUGUAGCAGUGAAAUGCGUAGAGAUCUGGAGGAACACCGAUGGCGAAGGCAGCCCCCUGGGCUAACACUGACGCUCAUGCACGAAAGCGUGGGGAGCAAACAGG